rnacentral:ncRNA from 2 species
AUAAUGCUUUAGGGGUGUCUGUAAAAAAACAGGCUGAGAUUUACCCUUGGAACCUGAUCUAGUUCAUACUAGCGUAGGGAAAAGUAAGACGAACUUC